CACAGAGCAUUCCAGUCCUACGGCAAUGGUAAAACACCAUUUAUAAGACGGUGGAAAGGCAAAAGAAUGUAGCCGUUCUUUUCUCCCCAUUUUCAAAUUUGAACGUGAAAGAUUUUAUUUGAAGGUUUUAAAAGAUUUUGAAUGGAGAGAGAGCCUUCCGGUGAAAUUUCUCUUUAUUCCUCCACCUGUGUCUUUGCCCUCGAUUUCUCGAUUUUGCUCAAUCGAUGUACUUCUGGUGCUAAACAUUGCCUCUCGAUAGUUUUCAAUGGUAGCAGUGAUUUCUAGUUUGAGCUAAGGUCGUGAGAAUCUUUGAAAUUAGAUGAACUCCAGCACGAAGUCAUUUUUUUGCUCGUAUUAAAGAUUGACGAUAUGCACGCCUUUUUCUCUCCUUCGUUUUGGCUACGCGGGGUUAAAGAUUCGCAAUAAGCUCGCCGCUUUCCCUUAUCCCUUUUGGAUUGGGCAUAUGCUUCUUGUUCUUUUGCUAGUCCUCAGCUAUCCGGCACAGAGGAGACCUAAAAGAUUUCUCAUGACAAGGCAAACCCACUGCGAUUGUUGGUCUCCAAGGCCUCUGCGGGUUAUAUGUAAGUGAAGGUGAUAGGUGGAAAUUUUUACCAUUAACAAUUUGCAAUGUUUCUUUAGUUUUCUUUUUUAUUUUCUUUUUUUCUCUCUCUAUAAAUAAAUUCGUAUCUGAAACAAUGACUGCAUUAUUUUACUUUUUCUUUUCCCCCGAUCUUUCUAGUGAAAAUUGAUUCAUAUAUGUUUUAUAAUUCCCCACGGGGUAAUUUUUAUUUUGGGUUCUAAUGCAAAUCCACUUCUAAUUCUUUCCUAGUUUGGCUCAUCCUCUUGGCUAAGAAUGUUCAGCCCAACCGCAUCCUUCAAUGAGAACAAAUUCCGUUGAGUCCAUACGAUUUUGAAAGUUUUUUUGUGAUCCUACCAGGUCAUGCAGUGGGACGCACAUCGAGAUUAUUGAACAUCAUGUGCAUGAUUUGGCCACUGUUGGUUAUCCGGUUUAGAGUGUGAAACAAUCAUGUUUCGGUGGCUUCCAUCAUGCUUGUUACUGAAAUUGCGUACAAUGUUUUUUUUGUACAUGUUUCACAGUCUAAGAGAUCCUUGGUUGACGAAGCUGUACUAGAUACUGAACGGAGAUGAGUUAAGGUCCUAAGUUUAGGACUUCUAAACCAAGAAAGGAAAUCCAGUCUUCCAAUAUUAAGGUAAUUGUUUAAAAAACAAGACUAUAUAUUUAUAGAAGAUUAAAUAGAUGGACCCUAGUUUUCACAUAGGUGGUACUUAAUUUUCUCCUGAAUGAUUAAGCUUUGUUGUUAUUUUUGUCUCAUUGAACACAACAUGUUCUUAUCUAUUCAAGAUAAGUUUUUUUGUUUAUUGUCAAGAUGAGGUGUUUGCUAUUAUACCUGCAGUACUUGGGAAUUAAACUACCGAGAGCAAAAGCUUUUGAGUUUGAAUACUAUUUAAACUUAUAUUCCUCAGACUUUGCAUGAACCAAAACUUGGAAAUCUAUAAACGUAACCAAAACUUAUGGCAAACUACUGAGAGCAAGGCUUUGUUAUGAUGUGUGAGUGCGUUGUGACUUUGGCAAUGAACCUUCCUACUGAUAUGUAGAGCUACUAGUUAUAUUAUUCAUCAGUUCAUCUUUCUACCUUGAGUUAUAUAAUCUUUUACGGUCAUGUGAAGAAAGGAAAUUUUUAUUUUUAUUUUUUUAUAGGUAAUAAGAGAUUUUAUUCCAAGUAAAUAGGCAUAACCCAAGUAUACAUGAAGUAUACAAGUGAAUACACCUAAAUACAAGCUAAAACAAAAAAGAAUAAAAAUGAGACAUUACAAAUAUCUUUAUUUUUUUUUGCCUACUUCAUAUUUCUACUAUAUGGAGUAACUUGGAUGAUCCUGUUCAAUUCUAAGAUCCUGUUCAAUUCUAAGAUCCAUGUUUCCUAUGAAUUUAGGGGUAUCAGUUAAAUGCUGAAACUUGGAUGAAUGUUUGAAUGGACGACAAAGUUAAUUAUAGCUGUAUGAAAUCACUGUGAAUGGUUUGGUAUGCUGGAGAAUCGAACUUUUAUCACUAUCAAAAGCUGAAUGCUUUGUUUAAGCAUUGUAUUUAAUCUUUUUACCAAUUUGUUUACAUGUGGAUUUAUCAUGAACACAUUGUUAGAGGCUUGUCCCUGCAGUACUAGGGAGUUAGAUUACUAGGAGAGCAAUGACUAUAGGUUUGGAUAUUAUUCCAACUCAUGUUACUUAGAAUUUGCAUGAACCAAUGCUUGAAAACUAUAACUUUAACCAAGACUUAUGUUAGAUUACUGAGAAUAAAGGCUUUGUUAUGAUGCUUGUGUGUGUGAUUUUUUCAAUGAUCUUUUCUAGUGCUUUAUAGAGUUACUAGUAAUAUUGUUCAUCUGUUCAUCUUACUUUAGUUCAUUUUCUUUCAGUGAUAUUUCCUAAAGUUCAAUUUAGAAGUACAAAUUAUAUGUUAUUGCCAAGCUAAUAUUCUUUAGGGGAAGAUCAUUUGAAUUAUUCCAAGCACACUUUAGUUGCCUCAUUUUGUUAUCAUAAUUGCCUAACGUCUUCCCUGAUAACUAUCACUAAUGUCUCUUGGAUCCGACUAUGUUAAUCCAUUUCUUAAGGAACUUUGGAUUGCUUGCAGCCACAUUAAGAUGCAACUAGGUGUUGUGUUUUGGAAUAUGUCUGUUGCCAUCAUUGUAAGGAAAAUAAAUAUCAAAAAGAACUUUUUGUCAUCAUUGAGAGUGGAGAGUGUGGGCAUGUAAGUAUAUUAAUUCUUUUUUUAGGAGAUAGAAGGUGGGUUUUAAAACCCUGUGCACGUGUGCCUUUGUGGGUGUCAGUGUUUUUUUUACAAUGAUAUAUGAGAUUAACUCUAUUUACAUAUAUAUUUUUCAUGCAAUAUUAGGGAUUUCUACAUCCUUCUAGCACCUAUUUGCCACACUUGAUUUUGGACAGCAAAAUGAAGGAACAGUGAUUUUGGCAAAGCAUUAGCUAAAUAUGGGGGUAAUAGCAUUUUAAUUAAUUUGUUCAUGCUCUGCUAUUUGAUGGUUCCGUAUGUGCUUUAUAUGACUAAUCUUUUUGUGGUAAAAACUCAAGUAUAUAUGCUGUUUAUUAAAAUCCACUUAUAUGUUAUUGCUAAGCUUUAUAAUUUCUUUUCUUAAAUGUAAUCUUAGCGAGUUUACUGGACAUAAAAACUCUCACACUCUCUCUGUCAAAAUGAUAUUGAAACAAUGAAAAUUCCGAUAAAAUCUUCCUAGAGCCAAAUUUAUAAUGAUGCCUUUCUUAGCAUACCAAAAUAAAAGUAUGGUUAUCUUUAGAUUAGGUCUCUACUAAUUGAAUACUGCUAUUCAUUUUCUCUCUGUUUGUUAUGUGAUAUAUGUCUUCUAAUUGCAUGUGAAGUUAGGGGAGACUUGAAUGCACAUUAUAUUCAUUCUCAAUAUGAGAUAUUGCAAAAUUACUUUGUUCAUGUUUCUUCUAUUGCAUUUGUGCUGUUCUUGAAAAAUGGCUUUUAUUACUUUACCAGAAUUUGCUUAACCUUUAGGAUUAAAGUUGCUUCAUUGUAUAUUACUUAUAUUAUUAGCAUUCUCUUUAUUGUAGUCAUUAUUGGUGGUUUACUCUAUUAACCACGAGUAUACAUUGACUGUGUUCUCUCUUCCUUUUUAGAAUGGAAGCAUGUGACAAAGUGCAAAUACCUUCCCCUUUAUAUAUCAUAAGCAUGGUACAAAUUUAUUUGACUUUUAUUCUUACACAAAAAGUAGUGAGAUGAAAAGGGCAUAGGGGGCUUCUUCUAUCCUCUUGCGAGUAAACUAAGGGAUCAUCUCUCCAUUGUGUAGUAGGAUUAGGUCUCAUGUCACCCAAACUCACUUUGCCUAUAUCUCAUCGUCUUGCCUCCUCCCCCCUCCACUACUUCUUGCAGCUCCUCUUCCUCCUCCACUUCCACCUCCUCCCCUCCCUACCUUCCCUUCCUCUUCCUAGUGCCUUCAUCAUCUCAUUAUCAUUGUUAUCAUUAUCACAAUCUCAUCGUCAUUUGCAUCACAUCCUCAUCUUCAUAACCACCAUGUUCCAUACUCAUCAUCUUUUCAUAUCAUUUAUCAUCUCAUAAUGUUUUCAUAUCAUCAUGAUUUCAUCACAUCCUUAUCUCCCAAACCAUUGCGAUUCAUCUCAUUCCAUCAUUUAUCCAUACUCAUCAUUUAUCAUCUCAUCAACUUUUCAUAUCAUUAUCAUCUCAUAAUCUUUUCAUAUAUCAUUAUGAUAUCAUCACAUCCUCAUCUUCAUAACCAUUACGAUCCAUCUCGUUCCAUCAUUUUCCAUACUCAUCAUCAUCUCAUCACCUUUUCAUAUCAUCAUGAUCUCAUCACAUCCUCAUCUUCAUAACCAUCAUGAUCCAUCUCGUUACAUCAUUAUCCAUAAUCUAUCAUCUCAUAUCAUUAUUAUCGAGACUAUCCUCAUUAGUUUCAUCAUUUUCAUUAUAAUGCCCCUGUAAAUGGAACUUUUUAG